rnacentral:rRNA from 1 species
GUCUAUGGUCAAAUUGCCCUGAAAGUGUCCCAUUUCGUCUAAUCUUGGAAGCUAACCACGGCCCAUCCUGCUUUAGUACCACCUUGGUUAGUAUCUGGAUGGGAGAUCACCUGGUAAAACUGGGUGCGGUAGGCU